ACAGCUCUAGGCUGGGGUAAGGCAACGCUUCUGGAAAUUUUCUGCUUUCAGCUAUGGGAAGGCUCUUAAAGCUCCUGCAGGCUUGAAGUUCUCAUCUGUCAAAAUUUACCCCAUUUCACUCAGGCCUACUCUGAGAAAUUCAGGACAGGGUAGUACUACAUGCCUCAUUUUAUAGAAAUUUGCUUAUAUUGUAGCCUCAGAUCUCAUGUGAUUCCCUAGCAACCAUGUCAUGUUUGUACUGGCUCUGGGUUCUGGGAAGUAUGAGCUGUUGGCUCAGACUUCACCUGAUUUUGUUCUUCUCAGACUGAGGCUGAGAGACACAAGUGCAGAAUUAAACCUUGUCCCUGUGCAGCUGCAUUUGUUACCUCUAAGGGACUGAAGCCCAAGUUCAAGUGUGUCAUUCCUUCUCCAUGACUUAACAGUAAAAUGAGCCUUUACUGUGGUAAGGUGGAUCUGAAGUUCACCUCCUCAAGACAUCCCAACAAACAUCCACAGUCAGGACUUCAUCCAGUGGUCUCCAGAGGUGACAAUCACUCCGCACCACUAAGGACUUCAUGGGGAUCUGGACUGACAACUGGAGACAACUGAGGACUCAUGGCUUCCAGAUGAGGACUGGAUUGGCUCGGAGCUUGGGGGUCAUAACCCAUCCAAAACAAAGGACAGCCUGAACAGUGACUGAGAGAGGCUUGAUGGCUGGAACUUGUCAACAGACACAACAGGGAAUCCUGAGAUGGAGAAAUGUCACAGAGGGGCACUCUCCUGGUGUGCCCUCCUCUAAGGCACAACUAGGUUAGGGGUUAGAGCUACCAAGGCUUCUGCUGCCCAGGCCUCACCUUGCUUCCCACAAUGGUUCCAGAAGAUCUGUGGACGGGUAAGGAUAAGGGUCUGAGCAGCCUCCAGGGCUCAAAGGGAUGCAGCUGCCCAUCAAUCAGAAGGCUUAGCUGCCCAAGAAGGGUUUCUGCUGGGUUCAGCUGUC